UUACGGGUAGCCGGCCUGAGAGGGCGACCGGCCACACUGGGACUGAGACACGGCCCAGACUCCCGGGGCAGCAGUGGGGAAUAUUGCGCAAUGGGCGAAAGCCUGACGCAGCGACGCCGCGUGGGGGAUGACGGCCUUCGGGUUGUAAACCUCUUUUACCCAACGCAGGCUCCGGGUUCUCUCGGGGUUGACGGUAGGUGGGGAAUAAGGACCGGCUAACUACGUGCCAGCAGCCGCGGUAAUACGUAGGGUCCGAGCGUUGUCCGGAAUUAUUGCGUAAAGAGCUCGUAGGCGGCGUGUCGCGUCUGCUGAAAGACCGGGGCUUAACUCCGGCUGCAGUGGAUACGGGCAUGCUAGAGGUAGGUAGGGGAGACUGGAAUUCCUGGUGUAGCGGUGAAAUGCGCAGAUAUCAGGAGGAACACCGGUGGCGAAGGCGGGUCUCUGGGUUACCUGACGCUGAGGAGCGAAAGCAUGGGGAGCGAAGGAUUAGAUACCCUGGUAGUCCAUGCCGUAAACGUUGGGCGCUAGGUGUGGGGACUUUCCACGGUUUCCGCGCCGUAGCUAACGCAUUAAGCCCCGCCUGGGGAGUGGCCGCAAGGCUAAAACUCAAAGGAAUUGACGGGGGCCCGCACAAGCGGCGGAGCAUUGCUUAAUUCGACGCAACGCGAAGAACCUUACCAAGGUUUGACAUCACCCGUGGACCUGUAGAGAUACAGGGUCAUUUAGUUGGUGGGUGACAGGUGGUGCAUGGGACGCAGCGGCCGCGUGGGGGAUGACGGUUCGGGUUGUAAACCUUUACCAAACGCAGGCUCCGGGUCGGGGUUGAGUAUGGGGAAUAAGGAGGCUAACUACGUGCGCAGCCGCGGUAAUGUAGGGUCCACGUAAAGAGCUUACGGCGUGUCGCGUCUGCUGUGACCGGGGCUUAACUCGCUGCAGUGGAUACGAUGCUAGAGGUAGGUAGGGGAUAUUCCUGGUGUAGCAUGCGGCGAAACCUGACGCUGAAAGCAUGGAGCGCAGGAAGAUACCCUGGUAGUCCACCGUAAACGUUGGGCUAGGUGUGGGGACUCCGUCCGCGUAACAUUAAGCCCUGGGGAGUAGCCGCAAUAAAACUCAAAGGAAUUGACGGGCCCGCACAAGCCGGAGCAUGUUGUAACGGAACCUUACCAAUUGACAUCACGUGGACCUGUAGAGAUACAAUUUAGUUGGUGGGUGAGGUGGUGCGGCUUCAGCUCGUGGUGAGAUGUUGGGUAGUCCCGCAACCAACCCUUGUUCCAUGUUGCCAGCACGUAAUGGUGGGGACUCAACUGCCGGGCUCAGGAAGGUGGGGACGUCAAGUUCAUGCCCCUUAUCUUGGGCUGCAAUACAAUGGCCGGUACAAUGGGCGUGCGACCGUAAGGUGGAGAAUCCCUAAGCCGGUCUCAGUUCGGAUUGGGGUCUGCAACUCGACCCCAUGGGUGGAGUCGCUAGUAA
rnacentral:rRNA from 1 species